ensembl:ncRNA F59G1.11 ncRNA
UGAUUGCGAUACAAUAAGAAGAUAAAAUAAGUGGCUUGAAAAUUUUUGAAAAACUACAGCUUCAUUGAAGCUGACUGUGGGUGCUCCGUAUUGUCACUUUAGAGCAGCUUGAAAAGUUUAGUCAAUACUAUUUCGAGAAUCCUCUAUGGGAGAAGC